UCGAAGGUAGCAUAAUCAGUAGUCUUUUAAUUGAAGGCUUGUAUGAAUGGUUGGACGAAAUAUUAACUGUUUCAUUUAAAAUUUUUAUAGAAUUUUAUUUUUUAGUCAAAAAGCUAAAAUAUUAUUAAAAGACGAGAAGACCCUAUAAAUCUUGAUAUUUAUAAUAAUUUUAAUUAUUAAGAUUAUUUAAAUUAUAAUUAUUAAAAAUAUUUUAUUGGGGUGAUAUUAAAAUUUAAAAAACUUUUAAUUUUGUUUUUACAUUAAUUUAUGAUUAUAUGAUCCAUUAAUAAUGAUUAAAAAUUUAAGUUACUUUAGGGAUAACAGCGUAAUUUUUUUGGAGAGUUCAUAUUGAUAAAAAAGAUUGCGACCUCGAUGUUGGAUUAA
rnacentral:rRNA from 1 species